AUUGAACGCUGGCGGCAGGCCUAACACAUGCAAGUCGAGCGAGCGGCGGACGGGUGAGUAAUGUCUGGGAAACUGCCUGAUGGGGGGGGAUAACUACUGGAAACGGUAGCUAAUACCGCAUACCAUCAGAUGUGCCCAGAUGGGAUUAGCUAGUAGGUGGGGUAACGGCUCACCUAGGCGACGAACCCUAGCUGGUCUGAGAGGAUGACCAGCCACACUGGAACGGAGACACGGUCCAGGCGCAUACGGGAGGCAGCAGUGGGGAAUAGUGCACAAUGGGCGCAAGCCUGAUGCAGCCAUGCCGCGUGGGUGAAGAAGGCCUUCGGGUUGUAAAGCACUUUCAGCGGGGAGGCGUUACCCGCAGAAGAAGCACCGGCUAACUCCGUGCCAGCAGCCGCGGUAAUAC
rnacentral:rRNA from 1 species